AGAAAUAGCAGCUUUUAUUUGAGACUCCACCAGUGGAAUUCAGAAUCAGGCUGGGCCUGAAUUUAGGAUCCUCCUGCCUCAGCCUCCAGAGUGCUGAGAUUACAGGUGUGCACCAGAUCGCCCAGUAAGCAUCCCAGUCUUUAGAUCAGAGGGAAGUAUCUAGAUGGAUAUUCUCACACCAGGCAGGAGUGAGUUUCCACUGGAGGCUCUCCCUUGUUGGCAGCAGAGCACAACUCUGGCUGAUUGAAGCAGAAAAGGAAUUUGUUAAAGGGCCAUUGUGUAGUUCAUGGAUGGAGGCAUGUGGGGUGAGACCAGACUCACCGGCCACCUGGGCAGGAAGAAGACCAGGGCCAAGGGCUGUCAGGACUGGCCCAGAACAACUCCACACCCACGUGGCUGCACCUAUGCGCACGACAGGACCAUGCAUGCCUCCUGCCCCUGAGAUCCGCCCACUGCUGCUUCUGGAAGAGGUGUGGCAUGACGUACACAGGAAGGACAGAGCCACCAGCUUUCCCGGGGCCAGCAGGCUGCUUGGCUUGUGUUUGCUCGGUCGACUGUCUGGAGCUGGAUCUGGAUACUUCUCAAAGGGGAGGAAGGACUGCAGAUGCUGGGAUGGACACAAGCAGAGUGGCCAGUGGCAGCUGUGUGUGUCUGCUGCAGGAAAGCUGAGAUGUUGAUCUACUCCUGAAAGGGCCCCCAGCAUUGGAUUGGGCUGCUUUCCUUACCUUUUCAGCCAGCACGCGGUUCUCCAGGCCGAAGAGCUCCCUUCUUGUCCUUCCUGCUGUCUGUUGUCUGGAGUGCUGUCAAAGCCAAAAGUGUGCUGAUCUGAAUAUGAUGUUCCUGACCCCUGCAGUCUGGUUGGGACCUGCUUUUCUAUAGAUUUUAGUUUGUUUUUCUUUUUUUUUUUUUUGGUACCAGGGAUCGAACUUGGGACCUUGUGCUUACGAGGCAGGCAGCGGAACCACUGAGCUAAAUCCGGGGCCCUCUAUAGAUCCUAGUACAAAGAGAUCUGCAGCAGGGUGCAUGUUGAGGGAGCAGCCAAACUUUCUGCACUGAUGCAGUGUGAUAACAAGUGGGACCAUGACCCAGGCCUGCUCAGGUGGGCAAAGCACAGGCUCCCCACCAGGAAAAGGGAGAGAUGUUAACGCUGGCUCUUAUCAUCACAUCUGGGAAAAGAGGUCCAGGAAAACAAGGCUUCAUCACAUGGACCUUUGAGCUUUACAGUCAGGCUUCCUGAAUGCUGCAGAUGCCCUGGGAAAAAUGGCAGACUUUCAGUUUGGGUCCUGGUGCAGAGGACACAUGUCCUUUACUAUUUUUCUAGGCAGAUAUGUCCUUUGAGGUUUCGGAUGGAGUGGGAGGUGCAAAUGCAGUGUGGCAUGUUGCUUAUGGUAAAGCUAAGUUGGGUUUCCUCCUGGACAGCCGUCCAGGACCCAAUCUGCCUCAUCCCUGGCAGAGCCCUCCUUGUGACGAUGCUGGACCUCCUCCCGAUUGUGGCUCCUGCUGGCAGAGUUGGAAAAGCAGAUGGGGCUCUGACUGCUCAGGAGGAGCCAUGGACGAGGGGUUCGGGCGGCUUACAGCCUGGCUCCACAGGGAGCACAUCCCGACGCUGCCUGCCACCUGGGUAGUGUGUGCCUGGUAAACAUUUGGCUGUCCCAGGAUGACAAUGAAGCAGAUGCUGACCCUCCACACUGUGUGACACAAGCCACUUCCCAUAGGUGGGUGCACAUGAGACUCGGUGGCCCUGGUGGCUUCCUUGCUGGCUCUCAAAAACCAGGUGUCUGGUUGACUUCUAAAAAGCAGGGGCUGGGUCAGAUGGUGGGGGGAAGACAGGGGACCCAGGAGCUGGCUGGGGACACAGGCCAGCAGAUGACUCCAUUUAUGCAAAAGUACACGAGCGCCACUCCCUUGAGACCAGAGCCAGGCAGUGUGUGAGGAAGACACUCUGGCAGCCAGCCUGCACCCUAACUGGAGCCACAGCUGCACGGUGACAACUAAGCCAAGGUAGCCUGGAAGUUGUGAGUCCUUGGCCCAAACCUGGCGUUCACAUGAGCUCUGGGCUCCUCAACCUUUUGUGACAUAGGUGGCACAGGAGCAGAUGUCACCCCAGAGGGCAUUUCCGAUCUUGGAAGGACCUGUGUCACUGGGGACUCCUCAGACAGCAGCAGAACCCUGUCCCACCAUCUACACUGUCCCGUCUACCCUGUUGUCCCUCUGCCUGCAUCGAAGAAGUGGUUCAGCGGGGAUCUGGACAGUCAGCCCUUUGGACAUCUUCCUUGUAGAAAUUCUGCAUCUCCACUACACAUACCACACACAUCUCUACCCUCCCUCCAUGUAUCAGUGUGUACAUGUAUUUAUACAAACAUGUAGGUGACCCCGGUCCCAAGCCCCACAACUGGAGUUGCCACCUGUAGCCGGCUUGACAAUGAUGAUGAUAACAGGGGACGGAUGGACACAUGGAACGGAUGUAGCUCUAGCAGACAGAGGAGCCCAGAACCUCCGGCUCACCUCGCUUUUAUUCACCCAAACAUGGGCACAAGUAAUCAAGAGCCAUGAGCCUUGUGACCUCAGAAGCUAGAAACAGAGUUCUCUGUCCGAAGCACUGAGCUCAGUAACCUUCUUGGGACACAGCGAGGCACUGUCCAAGAGCAGCCUGGCCUUUGUCUGAGGAUUUUGGCUUCCAAACCUUUGCAUGUGCUGCUCUUUGCCUGAACCCCCCCGGGGAGAACUUGGUCUUGCCAGUCCACUUGAUGACUUUUCCUCUGCAGAACCAGUGUCUGCAUGCAGGCCACCAAAACAAACACCCCAGCUUGGGGCCCGGAGUAACAGGAGUUUAUUCUGCAGGCGUUGGGUGCAUCUCCCUUCCUCGCUCAAAGACAGCCACCUGCGUAGUGGGUCCUCACCUGCUGGAGAGGGGCAGAAGGACCUCUUUGUUUCCCCUUGUAAGGACACUGAUCCCAAAGGGAGAGCCCCACGCCAGGACCUCUGGCUGUGGUUACCUCCCAGAGGCCCGUCUC
rnacentral:lncRNA from 1 species